rnacentral:rRNA from 1 species
UACAGAGGGUGCAAGCGUUAAUCGGAAUUACUGGGCGUAAAGCGUGCGUAGACGGUUAUGUAAGUCAGGUGUGAAAGCCCCGGGCUCAACCUGGGAAUGGCAUUUGAGACUGCAUAGCUAGGGUGCGGAAGAGGGAAGCGGAAUUUCCGGUGUAGCGGUGAAAUGCGUAGAUAUCGGAAGGAACAUCAGUGGCGAAAGCGGCUUCCUGGUCCAGCACCGACGUUCAGGCACGAAA